rnacentral:snoRNA from 15 species
NNNNNCUCUUGGGCUGAGACGUAUAGUCCCGUUCCACAAUGUCGGAGAGAAAGCUCUGUCCCCGGCUGUAAGUCGGUGAGGACGGGCGUCCUGCAUAUUCCUACAUCUUCCCAGAGUCCCUUGGGGCCGUUACUGGGGAGCUAAACCAUGCAGUGCACAUUU